UUUACAAGUAUGAUUAUUUAAUUUAAUUAUUUAUUGUGCAAAAAGGACUAUUUUAUUAGUCUCGGAUUUAAUAAGAUUUAUAAUGCGGGAAAUAUUAAGGUCGUAGUUUUAAGAAUUCUAGAAAACACGUAAUAUUAUUUGGUGUGGGCCUGUCGUUAAUUUAAAUAUGUAUAUUAACGCGAUAGCUGCGUUCAUAUGAAAGGUAUAGUAGACAUGAAUAUUUAUUUAAUGACUUGUGAAUAAAUAUUACGUUUUAGCCAAGAUGAUUAUUUCUAUUAUUUUAUAAAUUUGGGGAUUGAUUAGAAAAUAUUAAAAUAGUUAAUAAUAUACUUAUUUAAUUAUUUUGUACAAAGAUUUAAUUAUUUCAUAUUCACAAUUAUGAAAAGUAUAAAUGAAGUGGGAAUUAUUAAUAGUGAGACGGAACUUAGGGAACAAGUUACGAAACUUGGAACGCAAGCAUAAUCACUUGGUGCCCAAGUCUCGAUACUUGGCGGCCAAGCAAAGUGCAUAGUUAAAAAUUAAUUAAUGGAUAUUAGGAGUAAUCGCAAUUAAGGGGAGCUCUAUAAAAACCCAACUUUGGGGUGCCUAGAGUUUUGUUGGAUAAAAGAAGUUAAAAAGUGAGCCGAGGAGAAGAAAACAAGUGAAGAAAGUCCGGCAGAAAGAAAGCUUUGGGAGAUUAAAAGGAAAAGAGAAUUAAAACAACUUAAAAGAGAAGAUUGAUUAUCUGGAAGGCGAGAUUGAGUAAUCAACUUAAACUGGAACGUGGUGCACUGGAAGAAUUCUGGAGAAGGAUAUUCAGGCAAGAGUAAAAGUGUGAUGAACCGAAGUGCUAGACUUGAUUGGAUUUGCAAGUAGAAGUUUAGGAGAAGUAUUAUGUAAUCGAAAGAAAUAUUUGUGAACUUUUAGAAGAGUGAUGUAAGACUCUGAUGUAAGGUAAAAUAUGCCUUUAAGUUAUGUUAAAGUUUGAGAUUAUGAAGAUGUAUUUCGGUGUGUUCAGUAGAAUGACACCCCGGGUCGUGUUGCUGAGGUCAUCCCGGGCCGGGGCGUCACAGGUGGUAUCAGAGCUAUAGGUUCGAGAAUCGGCGAAAGUAGGAUUAAGACUCUAGAUUAGUGUGAUUUUAAGUUAGAAAAGUGGUCUAGGGGAUAUAUGGAUCAUAGUUGUGAAUGUGCGGAUAAACUAUGUGUUUAGUACUUACUAUAGCUAGAACCCCCAGAGUAAAAGGGACUGUAGAUCCUGUUGAGGCCAAGAUAUGGCUAAGAGAAAUAAAGAAGACUUUUGAAAUAUUUGGUGCAGAAGAGAAUAAGAAAAUCAUCUUUGAUACUUAUAUGCUUAAUA